AAGGGUGAGUAACGCGUAGGUAACCUGCCUGGUAGCGGGGGAUAACUAUUGGAAACGAUAGCUAAUACCGCAUAAUAACAGUUGUUGCAUGACAACUGUUUAAAAGGUGCAAUUGCACCACUACCUGAUGGACCUGCGUUGUAUUAGCUAGUUGGUGGGGGAACGGCUCACCAAGGCGACCAUACAUAUCCGACCUGACAGGGUGAUCGGCCACCCUGGGACUGAGACACGGCCCACACUCCUACGGGAGGCAGCACUAAGGAAUCUUCUGCGUGGACGGAAGUCUGACCGAACAACGCCCCGUGAGUGAAAAAAGGAAUCGGAUCGCAAAGCUCUGUUGUUUCAGAAGAAAGAAUGUGAUAUAGUAAAGUUCACACUGUGACUGUCUCUUACUACAAAGGAAGGGCCAUCUACGUGCCAGCAACCACGGUAAUAAAUAGGUCCCGAGCAUUGUCCGUAUUUAUUGUGCGUAAAGCGAACGCAGGCGAUUAGAUAAGUCUGAUGUUAAAUGCAGUGGCUUAGCCUAAUCAGGGUAAUUGAAAUUGGUAUAUAUUGUAGUUCAAAUAGAGAAAGUGGAAUUCCAUGUCUCACCGGCUAAGUGCUAAUAUCUAUGAGAUGAGCACCGAAUCCCGAAGGCGACUCGCUGGCCCUGGUAGUGUCGCUUGACGCUCAAAGCCUAGAGGGAGCAAGUAAGAAAAAG
rnacentral:rRNA from 1 species